rnacentral:rRNA from 1 species
AACGAACGCUGGCGGCAGGCUUAACACAUGCAAGUCGAGCGCAUCCUUCGGGGUGAGCGGCAGACGGGUGAGUAACGCGUGGGAAUCUACCCAUCUCUUCGGAAUAGCUCCGGGAAACUGGAAUUAAUACCGAAUACGUCCUUCGGGAGAAAGAUUUAUCGGGGAUGGAUGAGCCCGCGUUGGAUUAGCUAGUUGGUGGGGUAAUGGCCUACCAAGGCGACGAUCCAUAGCUGGUCUAAGAGGAUGAUCAGCCACAUUGGGACUGAGACACGGCCCAAACUCCUACGGGAGGCAGCAGUGGGGAAUAUUGGACAAUGGGCGCAAGCCUGAUCCAGCCAUGCCGCGUGAGUGAUGACGGUCUUAGGAUUGUAAAGCUCUUUCAGUGGGGACGAUAAUGACGGUACCCACAGAAGAAGCCCCGGCUAACUUCGUGCCAGCCGCCGCCGUAACAC